rnacentral:rRNA from 1 species
AGAAUCAACGCUGGCGGCGUGCCUCAGACAUGCAAGUCGAACGCGAAAGUUCCCUUCGGGGGCAAGUAGAGUGGCGCACGGGUGAGUAACACGUAGGUAAUCUACCUUUGGAUGGGGAAUAACAACCGGAAACGGUUGCUAAUACCGCAUAAUGCAGCGGCACCUAAUGGUGACAGUUGUUAAAGCGGGGGAUCGAAAGACCUCGCGUCUGAAGAGGAGCCUGCGGCGGAUUAGCUAGUUGGUAGGGUAACGGCCUACCAAGGCUACGAUCCGUA